rnacentral:rRNA from 1 species
GGAAUAUUGGACAAUGGGGGCAACCCUGAUCCAGCAAUGCCACGUGUGUGAAGAAGGCCUUAGGGUUGUAAAGCACUUUCAGUUGGGAAGAAAAGUAGUCGAUUAAGAGUUAAUUACUGUGACAUUACCAACAGAAGAAGCACCGGCUAACUCCGUGCCAGCAGCCGCGGUAAUACGGAGGGUGCAAGCGUUAAUCGGAAUUACUGGGCGUAAAGAGUUCGUAGGCGGUUAGAUAAGUUAGAUGUGAAAGCCCUGGGCUCAACCUAGGAAUUGCAUUUAAUACUGUUUAACUAGAGUACAGUAGAGGAGAGGGGAAUUUCCAGUGUAGCGGUGAAAUGCGUAGAGAUUGGAAGGAACACCAGUGGCGAAGGCGACUCUCUGGACUGAUACUGACGCUGAGGAACGAAAGCAUGGGUAGCAAACAGGAUUAGAUACCCUAGUAGUCC